CUUAAGGCCAUGUUACACGGUGCAAUUUUUCUUGCAACUUGCAAUGCAAUUCUACUCUUGAGAGAUGUUAAUUAGUAAAAUCAGUGAAGAAUUUUCGAUAUGUUGAGAAAACAUCAGCGGAGUGUAAUGAAGGCUCGUAUUUGGCAAUUUUACAUCUUUCAAGAGUAGAAUUGCAUUGCAAGUUGCAAGAAAAAUUGCACCGUGUAACAUGGCCUUAA